ensembl:lncRNA
GUAGUGUGUAGUGUGUAGUGUAGUGUGUUGUGUAGUGUAGUGUGUAGUGUAGUGUGUAGUGUAGUGUAGUGUAGUGUAGUGUAGUGUAGUGUAGUGUAGUGUAGUGUAGUGUAGUGUGUAGUGUGUAGUGUAGUGUGUAGUGUAGUGUAAUGUGUAGUGUAGUGUGUAGUGUAGUGUAGUGUAGUGUAGUGUGUAGGGUGUAGGGUGUAGUGUGUAGGGUGUAGGGUGUAGUGUAGUGUAGUGUGUAGUGUGUAGUGUAGUGUAGUGUGUAGUGUAGUGUGUAGUGUAGUGUAGUGUGUAGUGUAGUGUAGUGUGUAGUGUAGUGUAGUGUAGUGUAAUGUGUAGUGUAGUGUGUAGUGUGUAGUGUGUAGUGUAGUGUAAUGUGUAGUGUAGUGUGUAGUGUGUAGUGUGGUGGUGUGUUUUUAUCUGGAGAUAGUUAUGUCAAGUGGGACAGGAGAUUCAGUUGUAUUAGUUCCAUAUGAAUGUGUUUGGAGCGAUGGAAGGGAAGAGAACAGAGAAGAGGAGGGAAGAGAACAGAGAAGAGGAGGGAAGAGGAGGGAGAAGAGGAGGGAAGAGAAGAGAAGAGAAGAGAAGAGAAGAGAAGAGAAGAGAAGAGAAGAGAAGAGAAGAGAAGAGAAGAGGAGGGAAUAGAAGAGAAGAGGAGGGAAGAGAAGGGAGAAGAGGAGGGAAGAGAAGAGAAGAGAAGAGAAGAGAAGAGGAGGGAAGGGGAGGGAAGGGUGAGAAGAGGAGGGAAGGGGAGGGAAGGGUGAGAAGAGGAGGGAAGAGAAGGGAGAAGAGGAGGGAAGAGAAGGGAGAAGAGGAGGGAGAGAGAAGA